CAAGUCCUCAAAGGGAAGGAUUCCAGAAGCAAGAGAGAGAGAGAGAGAGUUCCAGUUGGAUGUCCGGUGCGUGUGUGGUUUAAUAAGGAAGAACCAUGUUUAAAGGUCUUUUUUAAACCAGGAUUCCGUCAUCAGCCUUGGCAUCUGAUCAACAGAAUGACCAGCAGGCCAAGGUAACUGCUGUUCCUGUAUUGCUGUUGGGCAAAUGAGGAUGAGAAAAUACAGCAUUGCAGAAAGUUUGCACUUGUCAUUAGGAAGCCAAUAGAGAAGAAGUGACGUGAAAUCAAUUUGGAAGAGAGAUCCAGAUCAUAGAGGCCAUCCCUCAAGGGGUUUUGCUCUUAUGGAGGUUAAUUUUGUGCAUAACUUCUGCUCUCAAAGUUCUUAAAUAUG